rnacentral:misc_RNA from 1 species
UCUCCGUAGGUGAACCUGCGGAGGGAUCAUUAAAGAGUUCAUGCCCUACCGGGUUGACCUCCCACCCUAUGUUAUUAUUAAUUUGUUGCUUUGGCGGGCCGUUAGUCCCCGGCCCGACUACAGGCACCGGCUGGUACGCGCCCGCCAGAGGACCCCAAACCCUGAAUCUUAGUGUCGUCUGAGUACUAUAUAAUAGUUAAAACUUUCAACAACGGAUCUCUUGGUUCUG